AGUGAACGCUGGCGGUAGGCCUAACACAUGCAAGUCGAACGGCAGCACAGUAAGAGCUUGCUCUUACGGGUGGCGAGUGGCGGACGGGUGAGGAAUAUAUCGGAAUCUACUUUUUCGUGGGGGAUAACGUAGGGAAACUUACGCUAAUACCGCAUACGACCUACGGGUGAAAGCAGGGGAUCUUCGGACCUUGCGCGAUUGAAUGAGCCGAUGUCGGAUUAGCUAGUUGGCGGGGUAAAGGCCCACCAAGGCGACGAUCCGUAGCUGGUCUGAGAGGAUGAUCAGCGACACUGGAGCUGAGACGCGGUCCAGACUCCUACGGGAGGCAGCAGUGGGGAAUAUUGGACAAUGGGCGCAAGCCUGAUCCAGCCAUACCGCGUGGGUGAAGAAGGCCUUCGGGUUGUAAAGCCCUUUUGUUGGGAAAGAAAAGCAGCAGGUUAAUACCCCGCUGUUCUGACGGUACCCAAAGAAUAAGCACCGGCUAACUUCGUG
rnacentral:rRNA from 1 species